CUAACGUUUAAAAAAAAAACCAUUUGUCUACUUUGAGGCUGAAUUCAGUUAUUCACCAUGAACUUUGAUUUGAUUCCAGCAGGUGUUUGCAGUGGCAAGUUGACACAGAAGCAAUGAAGCCCUCCACAAAGGUAGUACCAAGGAUGUUAUUAACAGAUUCUUGCCUAUAAGAAUUUCAAAGUUUGGGAUUUUGGUGCUUGUUCAACGCUUCUUAAGGUAAUCAUGUAACUUGGAGACUAAUGAAUCUAACUUGGAGCACUAAUGAAUCGUAACAAGCCAAUGACAAAACUGAGGAAGACGGAAAACGGGAAGAACUCAUGAUACCCGCAACAAACC